rnacentral:rRNA from 1 species
CGGAUUGUAGUCUGCAACUCGACUACAUGAAGCUGGAAUCGCUAGUAAUCGCGAAUCAGCAUGUCGCGGUGAAUACGUUCCCGGGUCUUGUACACACCGCCCGUCACACCAUGGGAGUCGGGAAUGCCCGAAGCCGGUGACCCAACCUUAAGAGGAGGGNGCUGUCGAAGGUGGGACCGAUAACUGGGGUGAAGUCGUAACAAGGUAAC